ACUUGACCCUCGUUUAUGCGGAUUUCAGUUAAUCUGGAUAGUGUCCAGUCAAUGAUUUAACUAUGUGUCCAGAUGGCCAACAAAUUAAUUUGAAAAAUGCGCACCUCACACAUUUCCAGAAAUGGCUAAUAGAUGGUGACGGCGCUACGGUAGGUGGUUGUUAACAAGUCUGGCCAACGCUAGUGAACACUGUGUAUUGUCCUGUAUCAGUGAGAAAAUUUUGUGCAUUUUUCAGUACCUUGGAACUCUUAAAUUAUGUGUCCCAAAGGUCUUGAGGGGGUAAGUGAGUAGCCCUAGUGGUGACUUAAAAGAUGGAAUUGAUAAGAAAAUUAGAGAAAGAAGCUAGUUUUAUGUGUGUUUGUGAGGAAUAUGGUAUGGUCAAGCAAACAGUGUCGGGCAUUAGUAAAUCAAAAGAUAAGCUGGUAGAUUAUUCUGCCAAAUACUGUCAGGAUGCAUCUAGUAGUUUUCAGUGUCUCAAAAAUUCCUCCAUCAAUUCCUCCAUUUUUGAACUCAACACAACCUUCCAGACAACUAUCCCUUCUUCAAUGACACUCAACUAUGUCCCUCCUCCACACUGAAUAUCCUCGGUCUGUCCUUUAUUCAUAAUCGUAACUGGAAACUUCACAUCUCAUUUCUUGCUAAAACAGUUUCUAUGUAGUUAAACAUUCUGAGGUGUCUCCACCACUUUUCUCGCUCCUCCAACUGCUAACUCUGUACAAGAGCCUUAAGGCGCGGUCACACGAGCGUUUUUUCCCGCAACUUUACGCCAGCAACUACCAAAGUGACUGAAAGUUGUGUCUUUUGGCGAAACGAUCAUGUCCGUCUUAAAGUUGCAGCAACAUAAAAUCUUGGCUUCAAAUCCAGACGCCAAAACAUCACCUCAUAAUUUGUUUUGCUAUUUAAAUUUGAAAUAAGCAAAGAUUCAUCAAGCAAGAGCCCAAACAAGCAUGUAGAUAACGGCAAGUACCGAAUUCAAGACCAGCCACAGUCGUAACUAGACCUGUGAGGGUGCCAAAACAACAACAGAAGAGGUGACUCCCAGACUGGCAUCUUUACCAUGUUUUCUACUAAAAUACCUUGCUCUAGGGGCUCUGAAGCCUCUCUCCUAGAGCUAGUAAGAGAGAGAAGAUUUCUCUGGUGUCCCAGGGAUCUGCUCUACCAUAAAAACAAGUUGCGAGGUGAGGCAUUUGAGGAAAUCGCAGCUGCGCUAAGAGCAGAACAUCCUGAACUCUCAACACUUACAGGAGGUAAGAUUUCUUGCUCUUCACUACUUAAUACUUGAGUAUCAAUAAAAUUUUCACAAAACGGGCAAACACCACAUACAUGCUGAGUGGACAGGUUACAUACCCUACUUGACACUCUUAAAGAUUUCAUUAACCUAACCUUUCAGUAAAGCAAAAAAUUAACUGCCUUGUGUGUCUAACUUAACCUAAGCUAACCUAACUUAGUCAACCACUAAUCUAAAUCUUAUUAUUCAUUUGCGACAAGAUAAUAUGGGGUUACAAAUACUCCUGACAUUGUGACCUAUAUCCUGAGACACUUUAUAAUCAUGUGUGAUGUAUUGAUAGAAACGGCAAAUUUACCAAAUUUUGGAAUAAAUAAGUAAAUAUAUGCUAGUCAGCUACUUUGGGAUAGGUUAUGUUAGAUUAGGUUUUCAGCCCUGCAUUGUUAGUUAAGUCAAACUUGCACGGCUCGGUUAGUCAGUCCAGUAGGAUUAGGUUGGUCAGCUUCACAGAGGUAGAUUAAUUACACUUAGAAUAGGUAUAUACCUAAUUAGUUACCUAGUUGAGAAUACUUUUUUUUCUCAUUAUUGUGAUUUUUGGUUGGCAGAUAUUUCAAGUUCUUUGUAAUUCUUUGCAGCGCAAGUACGGAUGAAAUUCAAAAACCUCCGGACGUACUUCAUGAGGCAGUACCAUGAAGUUCAGAGAGCCCCUAGUGGAUCAGGAGAAGCCAUCAAGAAAAGUGGCCACUAUUUGAUUGUGCCACUUUUCUAAUUGACUUUGGUUUAGGAAACCACAACAGAGGCAAGCUUUGAACUCCCUUCAGAUAUGGUGGUGUUGACAGUUGGAGGGGAAAGUAGAGAUACUACCACCACAACUCUUCAAGAAGAUCAUGAUGAAUGCGAGAUCCUCCCUGGUUGCAGCAGCUUAUCAUAUUCAUCUGUGGCCAGCUGUACUUCACCUUUACAGCAAAGCUCUAUUCCUUCUGCA
rnacentral:lncRNA from 1 species